rnacentral:rRNA from 1 species
UACGGGGGGGGGCAAGCGUUGUUCGGAAUUACUGGGCGUAAAGGGCUCGUAGGCGGCCAACUAAGUCAGACGUGAAAUCCCCCAGGCUCAACUUGGGAACUGCGUCUGAUACUGGAUGGCUUGAAUUCGGGAGAGGGAUGCAGAAUUCCAGGUGUAGCGGUGAAAUGCGUAGAUAUCAGGAGGAACACCGGUGGUGUAAACGGCUCUCUGGACCGCUACUGACGCUGAGGCACGAAAGCGUGGGGAGCAAACAGG